rnacentral:tRNA from 1 species
GGCCGCGAUGGCGGACGCCGCGGCCCGGAUCGCCUCCGGGCAGAAGGUGGCCGUUCUGUUCGGGCCAGAGCGUGCCGG